rnacentral:rRNA from 2 species
UUCCGGAGCUAACGCGUUAAGUCGACCGCCUGGGGAGUACGGCCGCAAGGUUAAAACUCAAAUGAAUUGACGGGGGCCCGCACAAGCGGUGGAGCAUGUGGUUUAAUUCGAUGCAACGCGAAGAACCUUACCUACUCUUGACAUCCAGAGAACUUAGCAGAGAUGCUUUGGUGCCUUCGGGAACUCUGAGACAGGUGCUGCAUGGCUGUCGUCAGCUCGUGUUGUGAAAUGUUGGGUUAAGUCCCGCAACGAGCGCAACCCUUAUCCUUUGUUGCCAGCGGUUCGGCCGGGAACUCAAAGGAGACUGCCAGUGAUAAACUGGAGGAAGGUGGGGAUGACGUCAAGUCAUCAUGGCCCUUACGAGUAGGGCUACACACGUGCUACAAUGGCGCAUACAAAGAGAAGCGACCUCGCGAGAGCAAGCGGACCUCAUAAAGUGCGUCGUAGUCCGGAUCGGAGUCUGCAACUCGACUCCGUGAAGUCGGAAUCGCUAGUAAUCGUAGAUCAGAAUGCUACGGUGAAUACGUUCCCGGGCCUUGUACACACCGCCCGUCACACCAUGGGAGUGG